rnacentral:rRNA from 1 species
GAUGAACGCUAGCGGGAGGCUUAAUACAUGCAAGUCGAACGGUAAGGUCAGAGCUUGCUCUGAUACACGAGUGGCGCACGGGUGAGUAACGCGUACACUACCUACCUUUAACAGAGGGAUAGCCCUGGGAAACUGGGAUUAAUACCUCAUAGUAUUGCGGUUUUAGAUUGCAAUUAAAGCUCCGGCGGUUAAAGAUGGGUGUGCGUACUAUUAGCUAGUUGGUAAGGUAACGGCUUACCAAGGCAACGAUAGUUAGGGGGCGUGAGAGCGUGAUCCCCCACACGGGUACUGAGACACGGACCCGACUCCUACGGGAGGCAGCAGUAAGGAAUAUUGGACAAUGGGCGCAAGCCUGAUCCAGCCAUCCCGCGUGAAGGAUGACUGCCCUAUGGGUUGUAAACUUCUUUUGUAUGGGAAGAACUAUUGUCAUUUAUGAUGAUUUGACGGUACCAUACGAAUAAGCACCGGCUAACUCCG